UGGACAGAUUAUUGUAUUCGACUGUAUUCACGGCGUGAAACAGGAGAUUACACUGUUUUUAAACUGAAAGUGAAUCAAUUAACAUAAUAGACUCCU
rfam:Nicotiana attenuata strain TT chromosome 1, whole genome shotgun sequence.